UGGAUGAAAUAUGAAGUUUUAUUAAAAGAAAAGGGUGAAAAGAACAAAGUUUUGUCCAUCUUUGUUCAUCAUAGCUGAAAGUUAGAGAAGAGAAAGGAGAGGAGAAAGCUCUUGAGUAUUCGGUCAUUAAGAGGAGGAAAAUUGAAGGCGGUUCGUGUGUGGAUCUCGUCAGCAUAUCGUCACAAACAGGAAAUCCCCAACCAUAGUGGGCUUGGAGCUGUGAGAGAAUUUGGAGUGGCCACCCAUUCUGAAAGUUUGAUUUUCUUCUGGUGAACUGGACAUCCUUUUAAUUACGUUUGAGGUUUUGGGCUUUUAAAUGUAAUAAGGCCGCUUAUUUAUUUUUGAUGGUUUUAUAUGUUUUAUUAAGAUAGGUAAUAUUUAUAUUUGAUGUUGAAAUUGGAUAGCUUUAAGGCGUUUUCAAAAAACAAGAAUUGUUUUCAAAAUAACACAAAACAAGCAAAGCUUCCAUAAUGAAGAUAUUUUCCAAAGUUAAUCACUUUUCCUAAAAGGACUUAAUCAAAUCGGUUUCCUAGAAAUAUACAUGACGUUAAGGUAUGGCAAUGGUGGUUUGCAUGUCUAGGAUUGGAUCCGAAGGAGUUUGGUACUUAAGCAAUCCGAUGGACUCACCUCCUCUUUUCCGGUUUCCUACGGUGCAUGACUUCCAUUCACUUUAACCCUUAAUGAAUUAAUCUUUUGAACAUCAAGUACGAUUUUCUGGACUUAGAAUGAAUUUUUUUUUUAUGUUUUUGAUGUGGCAUGCCGGAUUCGGCCAUAACUUCUGGGCCGGGUUUGGGGUGCUACAUGGUACCAAUUUUUGGGCGUAGUGAGGGUGUUAACCCUUCCUCAUACGUAACCGACUCCCGAACCCAUUUUUGAAUUUACGUGGACCAAAAUUAAUUUAAAUGGAAUAAAAUGUUUUAUUAGGUGAUCCAAUCACACCUAAACAAAAAGAUUGGUGGCGACUCCACAUUUGGUUUUAAAAGUCGAUCCCUGUUUUUUUCCAAAAUAAAAAAAAAUGGUUUCGACAAAUGGCAUGGCAGAAUUGAGCAAUAGAGGACUUCUUGAUGGACAAGGAAUCUGCAAACUGAAGUUUUGCGAGCACUGUGUUUUUGGGAAGCAAAAGAGAUUUCGAUUCACCAGAGGAAUCCAUAACACGAAGGGAACAUUGGAGUAUAUUCAUUCUGAUCUGUAGGGGCCAUCCAGAGUGCCUUCAAGAGGUGGAGCUAAUUAUAUGCUAACUUUUAUUGAUGAUUUUUCCAGAAAAGUUUGGGCAUUCUUCCUAAAGCAGAAAAGCGAUGUGCUUUCCGCAUUUAUGUCUUGGAAAAUUAUGAUUGAAAAAUAGACGAGAAAACAAAAAAAAAAAUACCUUUGCAAAGAGACAAUGGCUUGGAGUUCUGUUCUGAUGAGUUUAAUAGACUGUGCAAGUCAAAAAGGAUCGUGAGACACUUGACAGUUCACCAUACUCCACAGGAAAAUGGCAUUGCAGAACAAAUGAACAGAACGGUCAUGGAGAAAGUUCGAUGUAUGUUGUCAAAUGCCAACUUAUCAAAGUCAUUUUGGGCAGAAGUAGCCUCUACUACAUUUUUUUGAUCAAUCGAUCUCCAUCUGUGUCCUGCUUAUGCUCAUAUUGAUAAUGGAAAAUUGGAACCGAGAUCCAUUAAAUAUGUUUUUCUUGGUUAUAAAGCUGAUGUAAAAGGGUAUAAGUUAUGGUGUCCUGAAAAUAGAAAAGUUAUGAUUAGUAGAGAUUUUUUUAUGAAA